UGCCAGUCGUGAUUUGUGAAGUGUGGGGCAGUUCUUAACCCCUCCACUGUGAUUGGCACAGAUUUCACCUUCACUGGUAGCCUGGGAACAUAUAGUCCCAUGUCUUUCUCUGCCUCUGUGGUGGAUAGUGGAGUGUUUCCCAUGUGGUAUUGGUGUGCUGGAUAUCCCUUCACUGGUAGCCUGGUAACAUAUUGUCCCAGGUCUUUCUCUGCCUCUGUGGUGGAUAGUGGAGUGUUUCCCAUGUGGUAUUGAUGUGCUGGAUAUCCCUUCACUGGUAGCCUGGUAACAUAUUGUCCCAGGUCUUUCUCUGCCUCUGUGGUGGAUAGUAGAGUGUUUCCCAUGUGGUAUUGGUGUGCUGGAUAUCCCUUCACUGGUAGCCUGGUAACAUACACUCCCAGGUCUUUCUCUGCCUCUGUGGUGGAUAGUGGAGUGUUUCCCAUGUGGUAUUGGUAUGCUGGAUAUCCCUUCACUGGUAGCCUGGUAACAUAUAGUCCCAGGUCUUUCUCUGCCUCUGUGGUGAAUAGUGGAGUGUUUCCCAUGUGGUAUUGGUGUGCUGGAUAUCCCUUCACUGGUAGCCUGGUAACAUACACUCCCAGGUCUUUCUCUGCCUCUGUGGUGGAUAGUGGAGUGUUUCCCAUGUGGUAUUGGUGUGCUGGAUAUCCCUUCACUGGUAGCCUGGUAACAUACACUCCCAGGUCUUUCUCUGCCUCUGGUGGAUAGUGGAGUGUUUCCCAUGUGGUAUUGGUGUGCUGGAUAUCCCUUCACUGGUAGCCUGGUAACAUACACUCCCAGGUCUUUCUCUGCCUCUGUGGUGGAUAGUGGAGUGUUUCCCAUGUGGUAUUGGUGUGCUGGAUAUCCCUUCACUGGUAGCCUGGUAACAUACACUCCCAGGUCUUUCUCUGCCUCUGUGGUGGAUAGUGGAGUGUUUCCCAUGUGGUAUUGGUGUGCUGGAUAUCCCUUCACUGGUACCCUGGUAACAUACACUCCCAGGUCUUUCUCUGCCUCUGUGGUGGAUAGUAGAGUGUUUCCCAUGUGGUAUUGGUGUGCUGGAUAUCCCCUCCCAAAGUGCAUGGCUUUACAUUUUUCUUUAUUAAAUUAUAGCA